UACGGAGGGUGCAAGCGUUGUUCGGAAUUACUGGGCGUAAAGGGCGCGUAGGCGGCUCGAUAAGUCAGAUGUGAAAGUCCAUGGCUCAACUGUGGAAGUGCAUUUGAAACUGUCUCGCUUGAGUAUUGGAGGGGAAAGUGGAAUUCCCGGUGUAGAGGUGAAAUUCGUAGAGAUCGGGAGGAACACCUGUGGCGAAGGCGACUUUCUGGACAAAUACUGACGCUGAGGCGCGAAAGCGUGGGGAGCAAACAGG
rnacentral:misc_RNA from 1 species